UACGAAGGGGCUAGCGUUGUUCGGAAUUACUGGCGUAAAGCGCGCGCAGGCGGUUUUCAAGUCAGUGGUGAAAGCCCGGAGCUCAACUCCGGAACUGCCAUUGAAACUGUGAAACUUGAGGAUGAGAGAGGUGAGUGGAAUUCCCAGUGUAGAGGUGAAAUCGUAGAUAUUGGGAAGAACACCGGUGGCGAAGGCGGCUCACUGGCUCAUUUCUGACGCUCAGGCGCGACAGCGUGGGGAUCAAACAGG
rnacentral:rRNA from 1 species